rnacentral:hammerhead_ribozyme from 1 species
ACACUGCUGACGAGUCUCAAACAGGACGAAACAGCUGUCCAGUGU